rnacentral:tRNA from 1 species
UUCCGGGGUAGCUCAACUGGCGGAGCGCUUGGCCGUUAACCAAGAGGUUGAGGGUUCGAGUCCCUCCCCCGGAGU